rnacentral:rRNA from 1 species
GACGAACGCUGGCGGCGUGCUUAACACAUGCAAGUCGAACGGGCCCGCUCUCUUUUUUGGGGGUGGGUUGAGUGGCGAACGGGUGAGUAUCACGUGAGUAACCUGCCCCCUGCUCCUGGAUAACUGCUUGAAAGGGCGGCUAAUACGGGGUGUGCCGGCUGGUCCGCAUGGGCCUGGUCGGGAUAGUUCAUCUUCGGGUGUUUCGGUGGGGGAUGGGCUCGCGGCCUAUCAGCUUGUUGGUGGGGUGAUGGCCCACCAAGGCGGUGACGGGUAGCCGGCCUGAGAGGGUGGGCGGCCACACUGGGACUGAGACACGGCCCAGACUCCUGCGGGAGGCAGCAGUGGGGGGUAUUGCACAAUGGGCGGAAGCCUGAUGCAGCGACGUCGCGUGAGGGAUGGAGGCCUUCGGGUUGUGAACCUCUUUCUCCGGUGGUGAAGGCCCUGUCCGUUGCGGCGGGGUUGACGGUAGCCGGGUAUGAAGCGCCGGCUAACUACGUG